rnacentral:rRNA from 1 species
GGCUUGUUGAUUAUAAUUUCAAGUCUGGCCUGCCCACUGAUAAGUUAAAUGGCCGCGGUAUAUUGACCGUGCAAAGGUAGCAUAAUCACUAGUUUUUUAAUUAAAAGCUUGAAUGAAAGGUUUGAUGAGAAAGGUGCUGUCUCUAUGAAAAUUUAUUAGAAUUUUAUUUUUAAGUGAAAAAGCUUAAAUUUGUAUGGAAGACGAGAAGACCCUAUAGAGUUUUAUAUUUAGCUAGGAAAUUAGUUUAUAGGGAUAAAAGACUAGAAUUUUAGUGGGGUAUUUUAUUGGGGUGAUAGAAAAAUUAAAUAAACUUUUUUUACAUGUAAACACUUAUUUGUGGGUUAAUGAUCCUAAAGUUUAGAUUAUAAGAUUAAAUUACCUUAGGGAUAACAGCGUAAUUUUUUUUAGAGUUCUUAUCGAAUAAAAAGAUUGCGACCUCGAUGUUGGAUUAAAAUUAAUUAUUGGUGUAGAAGCUAGUAUAUUAGGUCUGUUCGACCUUUAAAAUUUUACAUGAUCUGAGUUUAKACCGGCGUGAG